GAGAGGGAGCAGUAUGACUCAGAGCACAGCAGAGAGAGGAGACACUGUGUUUCUGCAUGCAAGAGGAGCAGCAGAGAGAGAGAGAGCCAGAGGAACACUGAGGAGAAUAUGGAGAAAAUACAGAGUGGCCUUAACCAGAAUUGAGCUGUCAGUGGACAGACGAAGGACAAGAAGAGGAAGGUGGCUGCCACUCGGACGUUGAGGAAAUAGUCCGAGUGAAUCAGCUUGCUAUAGGGAGAGAAAGGAGGAAAGGGAGUGAGUUUGGAAAGUUGAGCGUUUGGUAUGACUGAAGCUGGCUGAGGGAAGGUUGAAUGAAGGUUUGCUGUGGGGCAGGCUGUGGAUGUGGAGCUGCAAAGGUCACAGAGGCCAGCUUAAUGAACAAUUUCUCAAGUUCCUCAAGUCCUGAGGGACUGCUUCUGCUACAAGGAAGAGAGCAUGACUGAAGACUGCACAAAUGGGAGAGGACGCUUCAGGAAGGUUGACCAAAGGACACCAUGAGAGGAAAGAAGAGCCGACAAAAAGGUUAAAAAGAAACCACCGCCUGAAAAACGUGGGAUCUGAGAAACAUUGAAACAAGUGAAGAUUUGGAAAGAGACACGAAUCAGCGAUGGGGAUGUGGAAACCUUAACUGUGACAGAAACAAGCCGAAAGGAUCCUUUUAAAUAUUGAUGCUGGCAGGCCGUUCUGGAAAGAACAGCUGAUUUUUUAUUCUAAAGGAUUUUUACAGCUGAACAGACAGCCUGCGUCAGACGACGACUGAAGGGAUGUCACCUCCAAUCACCACAAGACCUGAAAAGUAGCCAGGUUUGGUUUUCUAGAAGAUUUCUGGGAUGACUACAGAGAGAAGAUCUGGACAUUUCCGUGGGAUGUAAAGAUGUGAGGAGACACUUUCUUUCUUCAAGUCUAAAACAGAUUUAUUUGCCCUUCUGUUUAGUCACUGCCAGAUGAGGUAGAACCAACACCCUUGAGGCAGACAUUACAUCGGUUGUAACUCACUGGCCUAAUGGGGACUUUUUCAGAAGCCUUCAUUGGCAUCAGUAGAAAGGAUUGCUAAACUCGUCAGGAACUGCCGUGAAUCCCUGUUAUCUCAAAUCAUCUGCAAAGCACGGCACGAUGCCCCAGUCUCCAUCCAGCUGUGGGUUUAUGUGGGGCAGCGGGGGGGGUGCGAGUACUGUCGAAGAUGUCAUCUAUGUUUCCUCGUGCACUCAUUGACAGAGCUGGACCUGAACAGCAGUGUUAAAGGGGGGGAAAGGCGGGGGGAGGAGGACGAGAAGGUGAGAGAAACAGGUAGGACGAAGGAGAAGACAACACUGAAACCAUGCUUGGAUAAAGCGAAGAAACAAAGGAGUCCUUGGCUGUCACCCUGGUACAAUGUGUGGCGUCUUGCCCUCUCGCGGUGGGGUCUUGUGAUGGUAACCAUGAUCCCCGGCGGCCACUAUGUCUGCAGCUCUCACGCAAGAGAGGAUGACUCCACUAACGACCGCGAGGAGCGGAUUUUAGCUGUGCUGGGCAUCAUCGGGACCAUCCUUAAUCUGUUAGUGGUCAUAUUUGUCUACAUCUACACCUCCGUCACUUGAGGUUUUCUGCAAGACUUCAGCGAGAAAUGCCGGUGGAAAAGUUGCCUCACCAUGCCACCGUUUGUCUUUCAUGAACCUGAGAGGUUUGACCACAUCUGUUUGCCGCCUGUUCACCUGGAGAGCUUUACAAAUCUGCCUCAUUCCUUCUGCAGCCUGGAGGGUAAAGCUGGUGAGGACAUUUUGCACUGUUAAUACUAAAUAGUAUUGCUGCAAACUGAUUUUAAAUGACUGCCGGUAGCAUUGAUCAGCUAUUGAUAUCUUUCUACAGAAAAGCUUUCUGCAUCACCCAUUUUUCGUGAAAAGUGUCUUUUAUACGCGUUUCCAUUUAUUUCAUUUUUAUUAUUUGUGACCUUUAGAAUAAUAUCACUGCCAGAUUAAAUUUAUGAAGCAAUUGCAUGAAUGGUUGGAACAAACCAAGAGAUGAGGAGGAAGGAAAUCUCACAAUUAAAACUUUUAUUGUUGGUAAAAAAGCAUAAAUCAGUGUUUUGAGUUAUUGGGUGUCUAUAAAUCUACACCAACAUCACAGGUUUAAUAAGUUUAAUCAGUUAAACUCCCACUAAAGGUUUUGAAUGGAACUGAUGUGCCCAAAUCCGAGCACACCAGAGGAGAGAUUCCUGGCUCUGCUGGGUCUUAUCGGCAUCGUUCUGAAUUUACUGCUGCUGGUUUUUGUUUACAUAUACGCCUCUAUCUGAUGCAGCCCUACUCCCACAUCUCCUUUGUUUAACAGAUUAAUACUGCACAGCCACACGUGCACACACUGAAAUUUGAGCUUAAUUCCCAGACUAGGUUGAGAUUUUCUGUCAACGAUGCAGUUAAAGUGGUGAGAAGAUGCCAAUUGCUUGUCUGCGCCAGAAGGUGUUUACUUAAGUUUCUACUGCUUCAAGUGUUCCAAAUAACAAUAAAAGCUGCCAGUUUAACAAAUGCAGAGACAUGGAAGAUGUUCGCGAUUGAGUUUUUAAUCCCUGCAGAGACGCUGCACCUCAGCUGAGACCCUUCUUUAAAUCUCCGGUGCUGCAGAGUAACCGGGUGUUUUCUGGUGUUGUGUUUCUCUGGUUUGAUGUGGGAGCCAGACACGGAGCAGCGUGAGAAAGAGCAAAGCCUGAAGCUGACAGGUUGCUGCACGAGGAAAGAAAGAAGGCUUCUGCAGUGUGACUCAAAUAAAGAAAAUGACCAAUAUGCAACAUCCAUUCAAGGAGAGCUGGAGGUGUUUCCAAACGGCUGCAGCAUCAGCCUCAGAGGUGAAACAAAGAGUGUCCUGCAACGCUGCGUCUACAUGUCUGACAGAGCUGCCCGCCGUUGUGAGUCUAAGUUCCCAGACUCUGCCUCGGCUGGAGAUGCGGAGGCAGCUGACAGGCGAGCUGCAAGGACCAGGCUGAAUCUGUACUUUUUCUUGCCAUUCUCUUUUCCACCAACAAGCUAACACCAGAGAAGACAUAGUAACACAUGAGUCUCUCCUUUCAUUUCACACACGGUUGCAGAAAAACAGCUCCAGACUCCACCUAACCGUCUGCAGUUUAUAACAUGCUGGCUUUUGUGGGAAAAGUGUUUGCAUUUUGAUAAUUAUUGCAUUUAAAUGCUUGUUACGCUGGAAAUAGAUUUAAAUCGCUUUAGUUUUAGAACCAGUUUUAUCUUUCAGCGUUGUGUUUGGUUUGCGAUCGAACGCAGAAACCUGAAUCACUAACUUGGUCAUUUAUGUGGAAUCAAGCUAAUCAAAUAUAUUUCUGGUGAUUACAGUAUAUUUUUAUAAUUGUUAAAAGUACAGAUGCAACGUAUGGGAUUGUGGAGCAGCUGCUUUAAAGUUUAGAAAAAUAUAAUGGUUAAAUUGUUGGCUUAAAAGUCAGCAAAGAAGAUACAUUCAUCAUAAAUCUGUUAAAGGGAAUAUGUUUCUUGCUUUUGAAUUCCACUUCAGGCAAACAUGUCUACUACUUCCCCUCUUGUGGAUUUCAUUUCUUAACUGAAAGGCACACAGUCCGUUUGGCUAUUGCACUUGGUUUGUUUUUUAUAUGCCAUCUUGUUGAAGUCAUUGUCAUGGCUGUGAUGAUAAAUAUUAGGGAUGCACCGAUGCCACUUUUUUCCAGACCAAUACGAUACCGAUACUUGGAUCUGAGUACUCGCCGAUACCGAUUACGGAUACCGAUACUUCUACCACACAAAACAAUACAAUGAAUUAUAAUACAGGUUUUAUUUUCUUCUCUGCUUUCAACAGGAAAAGACAGUGAGGUAAAUAAAAAAAUGUAAUCUAUAACUAGAUAUGAUCACAAAUCUAAAAAGGUGAACCUAAAUGACAAGUUACAGUGAUGCUCCUUUCAAGCAACGGCAAUGGUAUCAGUUCCUGGUAUCAGUUAACUUUUACUGAUACCAGCAUUUAUAUUUAUUACCGACAAUAUUUAUGCUACCACUGCAUCCCUAAUAAAUAUAAAUGCAGAAAUAGAUGUUUUUUCUUUACAGUUAAAUCUUAAAAAAAGAAACCAUUUGGUAAAAAAAAUAAUAAAAUUCCAUCUUAAAGAGAUGGUGUGUAUUUACCCUGGCAAUAGGGGGCAGUACAUACAUAAACCACUGCAAACAAGGGUUAGGGUUAAGACCUUACCAACAGAUAGCCAUUAGAGUCAAAAAUCCCUGGGAGCAAAAUAUUUGAACGAGUACUUUGUCAGAUCGUUCAACCUCCAGCAAAAUAACCAGCGCAUCAGACUCUCUUUAUCACUGGCAACAAGUGAAGAGGUAAAUGUGUAAAACAACAUUUAUGAAUGGUGAAAGUUUUCUAACCGUUUGUUACAAAUCAGUAAAUGUGUUUUGUCCUCAUGGGCUCCCAUAGAAGGAAACAUUAUAUGGCAUCACCCAGAGACUUAGACCCAUGCUCAUGUAUUUUUUUACCCAAUUUUUGUGGUUAUAUUUUACAAAGUCACCAAUAUUUUUCAAAAACUGGGCAUCAUUGAAUUCAUUUUCAAUCACAUUUUGAUGGAUAUUUCCAGAGGUUAAAGGUAAAACCUACACAUUGUCACUUCAAAAAUACAGCCCAAACUUAAUCAUUGCUUUCUUUAAAAAGAAAAAAGCCCCCUACUAAGAUAAUAAUACUCAUACAAUAAUAAUUUCAUUUCCAAUCAAAAAAAAAAUCUAAAUAUUAACCCCCCUUUAGGAGUAAAAUACAAUGAAUGGGGCAACAUUCCUUCAUUAAGUCACAAUAAUGCACAGAUCAGAUGCUUUUGACCUAAUUAAGAUAGAAAGAAAUGUAAAAUAUAUUUUUAUAAUAAUCAAGAAUUUGAGCAAUCCUGCUUAUGAGUAUAAAGAUGAAAUGAAAGAUUUCAUAUUGAAGCUGAGUAGAACUGUGUUUUUAACAAAUGAGCAUUUCUGCACUGACUCGUGCUGGAUGAAAUAUUCUGGCUACUUUUAUUAAGCUGACAGGAUGUUGUGGUUGGUGUGUCUGAGCCGAGCCCAAACGCAAUUCCAGAUUUCACUGGGGACCCGUCUUAGUUUUAGUGUUCUGUGGACCAAUCAGAGAAGAGAACCCAGGGGGUGAAUCCCGACCAUCUGCAGUCCAAACAGACACCGAGUGCACGCACAUCAACAGAACAACACAGCUCAAACUCUCACCCUUCAUUGGCUCCGUUCAUGCACAGAGACAUUUCUCAUUUGACAGAAUAAAAUCAAAUCUGCGCUCCUCAGACCAGAAACUGAGUCAGAUUUAAAACGCUUCUGAGUGUUUAGGAAGAAGAAGCUGCAUUAUUUUAUUUUAUUUUAUUUUUGGAAAGACAACACUUAUUUUUUAGAGCAAGUAUGGCAAAAAUAAGUGCCUGGAGGAUAAAAGACAACCACAUGGAAGGAAAUUUGGCCAAUUUUAAUAUCCUUUUUUAAAUGUUUUUGCAUUAUUUUGUAGCACAAAUUCACUUAGAGGGGAAGGCUGUGCAAUAAAAAAAUGUAAUUUAUAUUUUUGCCAGCAAAUGAAACUGGACUGGUUUUGAACAAUGACAGAAGCAACGAUAAUUAUAAUAAUAUUAAUAAUUAAAAAAAAUAAGGUUUAUUACAGAAGAUUUGACUGUCUUGUUUUUUAGGUUUGCUUUUGUCCAUUUUUAAUCAAAGAUCCUUUUUUUUUGUUGAUUAUGAAAUUAUAUAAAAAAAUUGAUUCAACAACUUGGAGCAAGAAUUUUAAAUAUCUUUUUGAGAUCUGCUGUACUUUCAUAAAAUUGAUAAAUGUAUGUAUAACUAAAAGAAAUAUUAAUAAAAAUGUUAAAAAUGCUUCUGUUGAUUCUGUUAUAUGUCUUAUAGAACCUCUGAAAAUUCUCCUGAGAUGUGUGAUCUGUUCCCACCGGAUCAUUUCUCACACAGCUCAGAGCUCACAUGAUAGUUUGGUAAUUGAAUAAGGGAACACAAAGAUACAAUUGCAACCAAUUGUUCAACUGCUCAGAAACGUCAGGGAUGUAGUCUGAGUUGACAGAUGUCUUGUGUGGGAACCUCUGCAGCAGUGAUUUGUAAUCCUGACCUUCGAAGGAUGGACCCUGGAUUAUUGGAUUGGAUUUGGUGGCAGAAUCCUUGUUCUACAGUUGGAAGAUCAGGAGCUUAGUCUACCUGGGCUUACCCCUGCACCACUGGGAUGACACAGUAUCUAAAGUAUUUAUGUGUCAUAGUUUUAAAGUCAAACUCCCCAUUAGUCACCAUCACAGAUUGGUGAAAUUACAUCUCUGCAUUUGACCCAUCCCUGGGGAUGUGAUGAGUUGCAGCUGUGGCUGCGCUCAGGAACUAUUGGGUGGUUUAACCCCCCAAUCCAACCUCUUAAAGCUGAGCAUCAAGCAGGGAGGCAUUGGGUCCAUUUUUAAAGUCUUUGUAUGACCCGACCAGAUUUGAACCUCAAACUCCCAGUCCCAGGGCGGACACUCACUAGGCCACUGAGCAUUUUUAAGUGUAAUUAUGAGUGUUAAUAGUGAACAGAGUGGGGCUCUCGAUGGCCUUCGUCGCCUUUGUUACUGCUUCUUGGUGUCUGCCACACACUCCUCCUCAGGAUACAAAAAGUGUACUAAAAAUCUCUCAAGAUCAUUUUCUCAUCCAAAAUGGAAGGUAAAGCCAGACUUCAGUUCAACCCAGUAGAACUCCGUGUUCACAAGGAAUGUUGAAAUUAUCUAUAAGUGGACAAUCCAGUCACUCCUUCUGAUCUCCAGUGACUCCAGUUCUGCCUCUGUGCCCCAAAACUUCCAUUGAGAGGAUCAGAUUACAAUCUGGAUUAAAUCCAACCUGUUAACAAACCCCUUUGUACACAGAAAAACAGCUGUGACCUGCACCUUAGUGAAACGGUCUAAGGGACUGUUUCAAAACUAGGUGGGAUUAAACUCAGACAUCACCGAUGGAAGGAUAUUUAUGAUGAAUGGAAAGAGAACACCUUUAAUGGUGUAUGAAGUAAGAAUGACAUCCUGUGGUCAAAUGUGGUUAUUGUACAUGUAUCAAAACAAUCAAGUCCACUCUGAGCAGCUGUUGCCUGGCAAACCAGACUAAAUAAAUAUUUAUUUACAAUCUCUGCAUGCUACUGGACAAUGAACAACGAUAAUGAAAAAUGUGACGUACUCACUGCAAUGAAUGAGGCAGUCUGCUGUUGAAGAGGAAGAAAUUACAUUUUUUUCUAAAUAAUAAAGGACUUAAAUACAUAUAUCUGCUUCUGAUUCUAAUAAAGCCCAAGUCCAAAUAGUCCAAAAUUUGAUGGAAAAGUCGUUUUAAAUAAGCUGUCGCCAUCUUGUUCAAGUCCGUGGCAUCAUCCCACCCACCAGACAAAUGAAGGGCCUGAUUGGCCCACAAAGCGGAUAGAGUGCUGUGAUUGGCCCACAAAGCAGAUAGAGCACAAUGAUUGGCCCACCACUGUGGACCAAUCACAAUGCUCUACCAGUUUGAAACCCCUAUAGAUAGCCGUGAUUGGCCGGCUGGAAUGCUGCUGGGGAAGUGCUGGAGUGUUCCUAGACCAAACUUUGCAAAGCAAGAUUUUGGUCUAGUUCACUAGGCUAGCUGGUGCCAGCUAUGGCCAGAAAAUCCUAGAUGACAAGUGAAGACGAGUCAUAGACAGUGAGUUGAUAAACAGAUAAAGAGAUUUCAUGAUUAUAUCAAGUUGAAAAAAGUAGGCUGAGAUCAUUUUAGAGCAAGGUAUUCUUUUUCUAAUUCAUCAUUGGCCUUGUUAGCUCACCGUUAGCCUCUAGCCUUCUAUACCUGAUUUUAAAGUAAAACAAAACAGAUGCUGUGGCUUCUUAGGAGGUACAAAAAACAAAUUCUGGGUCACUCCUGUUACUUGCUUUCAUUAUGUCCACAAUGCUGUUGCUCUGUUUUGGCUGAUGUCGAAGACUUGAGUUGAAGACUUUACAACUUUGCAGGCUCAAAUGUGAUUGGCUCUAGAACUAGGAAGUAUGGAGGUGGUAGCCUGGCAAGCCAUUCUAUAUAUGUGAAUAAACCACGACCCAUAGACAGAACUCAGUCGUGGGUCGGAAUCUAUGGUUGUUUUUCAAACUGUCUCCACAUACAUUGGACAAUGAUCAACGUGACGUACUCACCGCUACAUAGGCCAAUGGGUCAGUUUGCUAUACCCCAUCGAAAAAUACGCAAAUACGUACCUCUGUCUGCUCUUGAUUCUGGGGAAAGCCCAAGUCUCAAUGGUCCAAAGCUGAUGCCAAAGCUGUUUCAAACGAACCAUCGCCAUCUUAGUUCUGCUCUGUCACAUCAUCCCACCCACUAAACUGAUAGAGCUCUGUGAUUGGCAUAACACCAUACUGAUAGUAGACCUGCUGACUCUCCUAUGCAGACCAAAAUCAUUUUGCUUUAGCUGUCUAGAUUUUUCUGCUAUGGAGGUGGCACUGACUGUAAAGAAUGACAAAGUCGCGCUUCUGCCUUUUUAAUAAGAGAAAACCUGACAACCUGCCAGCCAGCUGCUAAGGGAAUUUGUUUCUAUGUAACCUUCCCUCCAACAUGAUUGAGACAUUAGACUGUUUUGUGACUAUUUCAAUGUAAAAUUCUUACUUAUUGCACCUUUAAUAACUGCGUGUUUCUUCAGCAAACUGCAAACCAUUAAAAAACCCAAUCAGGCUAGCAAGAACCAAAAAUUGAAGGCUGUGCAAAGACUAUUCCUUCAGUCCACAAGUAUGAUUCUCCAAUUUUUCAUUCUUUGACAGCAAAUACACAGAGGAACACAAAGUUAUCGCUGGACUCUUGUAACGCACAAAAAGUGCCCAAUUUCAGGCUGUAGAGCAGACGUCUGACUACUAUGAACUCAGCUGCGAAAAGUGACUCACUUUCACUCAUUGUUGCCUUUAAUGUUCUGAUAUGUUUGACAAUUACAAAGCAAUUAAUAAAUGUUGUUGAUUAAAAAAAGAUACACUGGAUGCAUGUUUUCCAAAAAAUAGUUCAGUUCGGGCUUUUUUACUUACAGAAA